AUGUCCGUGGGAGAAUCCCUUCGUUCUCAUAGUCUGCAUUCAUUUGCCGAGUUCUUACAACAUCACAUUGAAUCUCCUGAAGCCAACUCUUAUCUGACAAGCAAAUUGAAGUCAAACACUAUUGUAAAGCCCUUCAGUUUGAAUCCAAUGGCAACAAGCAAAUCUGCAAAGAAGGGUUGCAGGCAGCGCCGAGACAACACUGCUUUGGACCAGCCACCAGAUAUUUAUGAACAAUACAAGUGUCGGGGAUAUACCAAGCGGUAUGACCCGGCCGGAGUCAUAACCCGGCUGGGACUUGGUAACCGGCGGAUGGUAAACCAGCAGACAGUUAAGAUAGAUGGCUAA
rnacentral:rRNA from 1 species